rnacentral:rRNA from 1 species
GUGAAUCAUCGAGUCUUUGAACGCACAUUGCGCCCCCUGGUAUUCCGGGGGGCAUGCCUGUCCGAGCGUCAUUGCU